rnacentral:lncRNA from 1 species
GUGGUGUCUAACAGUCUGAUGUGACAGUGGAGGCUAAUCUGUUGAAGUAUGGAGCAGACUUUCAGACAAAAUUACAGAUUACAAACUAAUCUCUGUCCUUUCCAUGAAAGAUAUUUUUGUGGCAGAAUCCUGGCCAUUGCCUUGAUGCACGUCGUUGAUGCACAUAAGGAGAAUGAACUGGAAUGGAGGAGAAGACUCAUCCCUCAUUCCUCUUGAGCAAGCCUCCCUCCCAGCUAGAAGAACUGAUCCCUCAGCUGUACUGACUCAAGGAUCAGACUCCACAGUGCUCAUCAGCUUUCAUGACUGGUCCAUGGCAAAGAUGACAGUCAGUUAGAAUAGAAAGACUUUGAUGGCCAUCAAAAUUAAAAUGCUUAUAAUGUCAAUGCCUUGGUUUGUAGAUAUUGCUGUUAGGUGUUGUUGUAUCUUGCACAGGUUUCCUGCCUGCUUAGACACCAGUUGCUGUGAGGCAGCAUAUAUUUCAGGAAGACUGAAAAUAGCACAGAGGUAAAUCAGUGGUAGUUUAACCAAUGCAGAGCACCAUGGUGCCACAAUUUAAACUCUUUCUGCAACCUGUCUGAAAAAGAGUUGAGCUCUUGAUUGAGACACAAACACACAAUGUGUGAAAGAAAAUUUACUGUUGAACUUACAGAGUAGGGAAAUUACACCCAUGGGAGAUAAAAGACUUCUGAACAUGGUUUUGUGUCAAUAUCUCUAUCUAACUUCCUGACUUCUUGCCUUACAAAUGCAAAAAUGCCCAAGAUCUCCAUCCCUGAUGCAUACAGGAGUGAAGCAGUAAAUGAGCAUAUUCAUAACAAGACUAAAAUGGAAAAUUAAAAAAACUAUGGGAUGGAAAAGAAGAAAAAGAUGAAGGACAUAUUACUUGGUUAACAGAUAUUAAAUUGGCAGGGAUUUAAAUUCACCAAGACAUAUUGACCUUUGAUCAGUGUCUUUAUAACGCUAAAUCUUAUACAAGAUAAUAAGUAUUUAAUUUACACAACACUUUCUGGUCAAGUAACAUUUUCUGAAUAUGUGAGACAUGUUUCCGAAUUUGAGUCACAAUAAAUACUCCUGG